ensembl:lncRNA
AGGUGCUAGGCUUUCUCCAUACCAACUCCCAGUUCUCUGAUGGACUCAACUCUGCACAGCGCUCGGAGCAUCUCAGAACAGCCAAACCACUGCCAGCUUCAAACAAACGAGAAAAUUUAUCAGUAAAACAAGACAAAAAUGAAAGCAACAGGCUGAAUGGGAAGAGAUGGAAGGAGGGGUGGCUGUGCUUCUGGGAUUCGGGAGCCUGGAAGAGUAAGAGUAAGAGCAGCAUGCAAUAUGCGGAGCAAGCUUCUGAGGACCAGAUGUUUCCAGUAUGGCAUGAUUAGAAAAGAAGAAAGCUGAAGGAACUCGCCACGUACGUUCACUCAGCUACAGGAUUUUUUCCCCAGCUCUUCAUGACUAUUAGCAGCUCCAGAAGUACCAGUGACAAGUUAUUUGGGUGUGAUGGCAGCAGAGCCCAGAGCCAGUCACUUCUCUUCUGACCAGAGUGCCAACGGAAAGCUUGCAAAUACACGGACCACAUCCAGCUGUCUUGCAUCAUUGCAG